AACGAACGCUGGCGGCAUGCCUAACACAUGCAAGUCGAACGAGACCUUCGGGUCUAGUGGCGCACGGGUGCGUAACGCGUGGGAACCUGCCCUUAGGUUCGGAAUAACUCCCCGAAAGGGAUGCUAAUACCGGAUAAUGUCUUCGGACCAAAGAUUUAUCGCCUUUGGGUGGGCCCGCGUUGGAUUAGCUGGUUGGUAGGGUAAAAGCCGACCAAGGCGACGAUCCAUAGCUGGUCUGAGAGGAUGAUCAUCCACACUGGGACUGAGACACGGCCCAGACUCCUACGGGAGGCAGCAGUGGGGAAUAUUGGACAAUGGGCGAAAGCCUGAUCCAGCAAUGCCGCGUGAGUGAUGAAGGCCUUAGGGUUGUAAAGCUCUUUUACCCGGGAUGAUAAUGACAGUACCGGGAGAAUAAGCUCCGGCUAACUCCGUG
rnacentral:rRNA from 1 species